UACAGAGACUGCAAGCGUUGUUCGGAAUUACUGGGCGUAAAGCGCGCGCAGGCGGUCCUUCAAGUCAGAGGUGAAAGCCCAGGGCUCAACCCUGGAAUUGCCUUUGAGACUGAGGGACUUGGGUACGGGAGAGGUGAGUGGAAUUCCGAGUGUAGAGGUGAAAUUCGUAGAUAUUCGGAAGAACACCAGUGGCGAAGGCGGCUCACUGGCCCGUUACCGACGCUCAGGCGCGACAGCGUGGGGAGCAAACAGG
rnacentral:rRNA from 1 species